rnacentral:lncRNA from 1 species
CCUCACAAAAUAAGAUUUUCCAUGAUGAGAAGAAUCAAAACAACUAGUACAAGCUAGUCCUUUGCUACAUUUUUAGUGCAUCUCAUGCCAUUCAAGCUCCUAUUACUUGGUUAAUCCAUUCCAACAUCAAUUAUAGUAGGCUAAUACACAAUGAAAACCAUCUACACACUUCAGAAGUAGAAAACAAAUAGAUCCCAAAUUACAAUCCAAGGUUAAGGACCGAUGGAGAAAGAGCGAUAAACUCCUAGAACCUUUCAGAUGGGUACCUGAUAGGUUUUAGAUCAGUAAACUCACAAGAACAAAGUAUAAUAGAGAAAGUCUGCAACUUUAUUGAUUAUUGAUAAGAAAAGAACAACUUUGAGAGACUUACGGUUCUCUCCCACCUCCUUACAAAGUUCACCAAAACCUUGAUAGUGAUUCCAAAAC